rnacentral:lncRNA from 1 species
UUUUCCCUGUAAACUUUACCUCCUUCUUCCACCAUCACCAAUCUCAGAGAGUUAGCAACUGCGUCUUUAGUAAAUGAUCCGUCCAACUCAUUUCUCGCUAUCUCAUGUCCCAACUUCUUUUCCUCCAAUAGGCUGGAAAUCAAUCCUUGGUCCAGCAAGAAAGGCAACAAGAUUAUCCAUUUCCCGAAUUGCAAAGCCUCCACGACUGAGCUCAGCCCGGAGUGACACAAGAUUCCACCCACCGACUCGUGGCUCAGUACCUUGAGUUGAGGAACCCAACUUGUAAAAACCACCCCACGUCCUUUAGUUCUCUCCUCGAACCCUUCUGGUAAAUGAGUCACCUCAUUAUCUGCUGCCCCUCGUUGCUUCCUCAGAACCCAGAAAAAUGGCAAUUCCGACUUCUCCAAGCCUAAUGCAAUUUCAAUAAGUUCAUCUUGAUUUGGUUUCGUUUCACUUCCAAAAGCUACAUAAACAACCGAUCCUUUUUCUUUCGCGUCAAGCCAUUCCUUAAUUUCAAUCCAGUUUUCAUUUUGCUCAUCAGAACCACUAUCAGUAGUUUUUGGGGGCAAAUGGCCGACUGGAAUAAUUGGUUUUUCGUAAAUAUUCUCUAGAAGUUGUAGCCACUCAGGCUCAAACUCAUAACAACUUCUCAUCACCACCACAUCACAGCCGUCAAUCGUGGCUACCAAUCGGUAAAUGUCCGAAACAUUACCUCCGUCUAUAAUUGCCUCCUUAAACUGGCGAUUAAUUUGAAAAAAGCGCAUAGAAACAGAUGUUUCAAAGGGUACCCACUUGGGUUUCACAGUGAAAUCUUCGGGCUUCACCCUUUCAUCUUGAUUUUGUAAUGUAAGUGAUGUUGGACCAGUAACGCUCAAAAGAGUUGCAGUAAAUAUGCUGAAAAAAGCACAUGGAAUGUUGAGUUUAGCAGCUUCUGGGUAUAACCAGUAUUGAGCAAAAUCGGCAAUAAUCCAGUCAGCUGCGGAGUCUUCCAACAAACAAGUGAUUCUUGGCUGAAGCUUGUCGAAGGCAAUUUUAAGGUAGCGGACCAUAUCGAAUGGUACAUCAAUGGUGGCUUCUGCAUCUUCAGGUAGACUAUCAACUUUUGGCAAUUGAAUCUUGACAAAUUCUAUUAGAUGGGUUAAAUUCGAAGGCAGUUUGGGAAGGCGAUCAAUGUUUCUGGGGGUCGAAACAAAGGAGACACUGUGGCCUUUCUGGGCUAUGAGCUUGGCGAGCUCUAGGUAUGGAAUCAAGUGACCGAAGGCCAGCCAUGGGAACAUGAGAAUAUGCAAUUUACCCUGCUCAGCCAUGGACUACAGAUUUAGAGGUGCAGUGCACAAGAUUCUUGAUUAUACUAUGAAGGUUUGUGAUUGAGAUAUUUAUGUUGAUUAGAUCAGUACAAUUUCAACAUGCUUUUCAUACCGCAACUAUCCCCACAGGAACGCCAGCAAAUGAGUGAUAUUUUCCACUGGUACACACCAAACAUAUCCACAUCUAUAUUAAGACCCUGUUUGAAGGAUUAAAGUCUAAAUUUUAUCCUAAAUCAAAAUCAACAAGUUAUUUUAAUCCCGUACUUUAUGGAAUUCACAACAUUUCAAUAACAUAUUUUAUUAAUUUUUAUCAAUCAAAAUUUACUAAAAAUCUGAUUUUAAUACGUUAUUUUUUAAUGUUUUAAAGCUAUAUUAAUUCAAAAUAAUCAACUCUUAUAAAUAACGUAACACAAUCUUAUGUAUUUUUUACGUCUUUCUUUAUGUUUGAUUGUUAAAAUCACGGAAAGAGAAAGAUAGCGAGUUCACAAUAAUUAUGAGAGGUAUAAUCGAGCUUCAAUUCGAUUUUUCGAGAACGAUAGAUACAACACUGCAGUAAAAUAACAGAUUCGGGUAAAACUUAUCAAUUUGAUUAAGUUGAACUUGAAAUGAAAAAUAAAAAUAGGAAAAAUCAUACUUUUUGGCUUUAAGCUAAAUUAAUUAGUUAGUAAAUUUAUUUAGAAAAAAUAAAAUAAUUUAAUUUAUUUAAAACAAAUAAAUUUAAAAAACAAGUAAUUGGCAAAAAACGUCCCUACCUUUCAAGUGUAUUGUGAAAAACAUCCAUACAUUUCAUUUUUUGGUACAAAACGUCCCUACCUUCCACUUUCUUGGCGCUGAACGUCAUUUUCAUCAAUUUUUGACGAUUUUAUCCUUCAGUCAAAUACAACAAAAAGAAAAGAAAGGAAAAAAAACAAAAAAACUAAUUGCAACCACAUUCCCAAAAUUUUUAAAAAUUGCAAAUGGUAACUUGAUAAUUACCAUAUUAAAUAAAUUGAAAAAAAAAAAUCAAAAAAUUAAGAAAAAAAAUUAAAAAAUGGGUUGUUUUCUUCACGACAACCCACCCCACCAUACAAAAUCUCUUUGCACAGCAAAUCCUCCAAAUCCGAAGCCCCAUUACAUCUCUCUGUACAAUGGGGUUUGAUACUGUAUAUGAAAAUGAAGGAGCUUGUACAAAGAGGUAGAUCGUAACUGAUAGCUUACUUUGAGAUUUUGUCAAAUGGAUCUUUGAGAUUUUUGGUUUUAGAAGCGGUUUUUAGAGUAAAGUAAACGGUGACGCGGGGGUUGUUAAUAGCUUACUUUUUGCUAUUUAUCUUCUAUUAUUGUUAUUUUUCAGUUUUGAUGAUUUCUGUGGGUAGUAUAGAUGGGGGAAAUUUGUCAGGUUUAGGGUUAGAAAUGGAAGAAAAUGAACUUGAAGAAGGAGAGGCUGACUGUUUUCAGAAUGAUGGUGACGAUUCCACCAUUGACCCUGAUAUUGCACUCUCUUACAUUGUAAGUUCAUUUUAUUUUUUAAUCUUUCUUUGUAAUUCAGUUUUUCAGUUUUCUAAAGCUGCAUGUAGUUUGAUUUAUAAAUUAUAUCCUGUUCAGUUGUGCAGAGAGAUGUAAUAGGGCUUCGAAUUUGGAGGAUUUGCUGUGUAGAGAGAUUUUGUAUGGUGGGGUGGGGUGGGGUGAGAGAAGAAGAAGAUGAAUAAUAGGGUGUGGUGUGGUGUGGUGAAGAAGACAACCCAUUUUUUUAAUUUUUUUCUUAAUUUUUUGAUUUUUUUUCAAUUUAUUUAAUAUGGUACUUAUUAAGUUACCAUUUGCAAUUUUUAGAAAUUUUGGGAAUGUGGUUGCAAUUAGAUUUUUGUUUUUUUCUUUCUUUUUUUUUAUUUAUUUGAAUGAAGGGUAAAAUCGUCAAAAAUUGAUGAAAAGAACGUUCAGCGCCAAAAAAGUGGAAGGUAGGGACGUUUUGUGCCAAAAAAUGAAAGGUAAGGAUGUUUUCCACAAUACAAUUGAAAGGUAGGGACAUUUUGUGCCAAUUACCCAUUUAAAAAAAUUAGAAAGAAUCAGUUCUUAUUGGAUUUUUCGGUUCUUGAUCUAGAACCAAGAACCGAUCCAAAUCUGUAGAUUCUCAAUUUAAAUACCCGUUUGAGUAUUUACCUUAAGAAGAACCGCUCAGUUCGUAGUCGAGAGUUUUGUCCAAUCCUAAUUCACAAAUAACAUUCAUGACAACUGACAGUAAAGUAAAAAUUAUGAACAGUGCUAUAAGUAUAGAUUUUUUCUGCAGAUUUUGUACAGAAAGAUAGCUGUCUUCCCGUAAUUGAUUAUUGUUAAAAACAAUUUUUUGCAACAGUAAAUCACAAGAAGACAACUAUGUCAUGUACCAAUUCUGUUAAAAAAAUUUAUACUCGUAGAUUAAUGCAAAAGUUAUCUUCAAACCUGAAUCCAAUGCCACCCAAAACAUGUCUACGCAGGUGUUAUCUAGGUAUGGUCGUGAUUAAUCUCACUAAUCUGCAGAGCAGAGCCCCUAAAACUAGAUUCAAAUGAUGUGAUAAAACAUUCCAGUGUUUUUAACCAGCUAGUAAUAGGAGCAUGGCAUACCAGUUACACUUCCUUCUAAUCACCACGCUUCCGAUUAUAUUAUGUGUUUUGAAUUCAAAAUGUAACCCCCAAUCAAACAAAUUCUAUGACCAUCUCCGAUUGUUCCUUUUCCUCUUUAUUUUAAAUUUUUUUGGAAUGCAAGAUAUUUUGUCUCACUUCGUCGCCAUUGGUCAAUCAAGAAACAAUUUGAUAGGUCGGUAGGUACGUAGGUAACAAGACAAGUAGAAAAGGAAUUGAUGGGUGGAGAUGCUUCCAUGAAGCACGAUUCGGAAAAAAAUAAGUUAAUUUCUCCUCCAAAAUAAUAUGCAGUAGAGGUCUAUCAGUUGAUCUCUAUGGAAUCUUCCGGAUUGGAUUCAAUAGGUACCCUAGUUCAUAUAUUCACAGUUCUGUCAUGAAUUCGUCCCUUCUUGUAAAUAAUCUAUUCUGGUAGGGAUGAAAAUGCACAUAGCAAACAAGCAUACUUUUGAAAGUCAAGAUAGACAAGUGGAUUAAAGCUUUUGAAUGAAAUCUAUUCUUUCUACUCUAUUGUUCUCUUGAUUUUGAAAGAAACCUUUAGCUUUUGUUUACUUUAGUAUAAAAAUCUUAUCCAAUCCAAGCGUUUUAACACUUGGAUAUUAUAAAAAGAUGCAUGCUAUUACCCAAAUCUAAAUUCUCCCAGGCUAAAACAACAAUCCCCGUAUUGGAGUCACUUGAAAAGCUAGAGAGUUACAUCAUAUACAAGUAGAUCUUCUUCUGUUCAUCUCUUAUCUCUGUACUUGUCUAUCAUUUCUCUCUCAACAGUUACAUACAAGCCAAGCAAUGCAUAAACGAUACACUCAUAAUUCACUUGGAAAGUGUAUUUAUUUCUAUUAGAAUACUUUAAGCCUUCUUGUGAUUUUGUAGAUGAUCUAAGAAUCGCUCCAUAUAACCAUCUUGUAUAUCUUUAUUCGACAACAAUUCUCUCAUCUCUUUAACCUUUUCCCUGUAAACUUUACCUCCUUCUUCCACCAUCACCAAUCUCAGAGAGUAAGCAACUGCGUCUUUAGUAAAUGAUCCGUCCAACUCAUUUCUCGCUAUCUCAUGUCCCAACUUCUUUUCCUCCAAUAGGCUGGAAAUCAUUCCUUGGUCCGCCAAGAAAGGCAACAAGAUUAUCCAUUUCCCGAAUUGCAAAGCCUCCACGACUGAGCUCAGCCCGGAGUGACACAAGAUUCCACCCACCGACUCGUGGCUCAGUACCUUGAGUUGAGGAACCCAACUUGUAAAAACCACCCCACGUCCUUUAGUUCUCUCCUCGAACCCUUCUGGUAAAUGAGUCACC